UACGGAGGGUGCAAGCGUUUGUUCGGAAUUAUUGGGCGUAAAGGGCGCGUAGGCGGCUUGGCAAGUGGAAGGUGAAAUCCCUCGGCUUAACCGAGGAACUGCCCUCCAAACUGCUUCGCUUGAGACCGGGAGAGGUGAGUGGAAUUCCCAGUGUAGCGGUGAAAUGCGUAGAUAUUGGGAGGAACACCAGUGGCGAAGGCGGCUCACUGGACCGGUACUGACGCUGAUGCGCGAAAAGCGUGGGGGAGCAAACGGGG
rnacentral:rRNA from 1 species